rnacentral:rRNA from 1 species
UACAGAGACUGCAAGCGUUAUUCGGAUUCACUGGGCGUAAAGGGUGCGCAGGCGGCCGUGUGUGUGAGGCGUGAAAGCCCGGGGCUCAACCCCGGAAUUGCACCUCAAACUACAUGGCUAGAGCAUUGGAGAGGGACGCGGAAUUCACGGUGUAGCAGUGAAAUGCGUAGAUAUCGUGAGGAACACCAGAGGCGAAGGCGGCUUCCUGGACAAUUGCUGACGCUCAGGCACGAAAGCGUGGGGAGCAAAAGGG